rnacentral:rRNA from 1 species
CCACAUGACUCUCGGCAAUGGAUAUCUUGGCUCUCGCAUCGAUGAAGAACGUAGCAAAAUGCGAUACCUGGUGUGAAUUACAGAAUCCUGUGAACCAUCGAGUCUUUGAACGCAAGUUGCGCCCGAGGCCACUCGGCCGAGGGCAUGCCUGCCUGGGCGUCACG